rnacentral:misc_RNA from 1 species
GAGAACGGAGGCUGCCGAGAUUAUACAUAACUAGAAACGAAAACAAAACGACCGGCAGCACGCACGCAGACGCGCCCGUGGGCCACUCGUCACGCACGAGCGCGUGCCUCCUUUUUCUUUUGGUGAGAAGGCCAGUCUGAGCCCCCAUCCAUCGCUGCAACGGCCGCACGUAGAGAGGCCUGUUGGACGGCACGCCCUUGGAGAGUUUGUGGGCGUUAGGAGCACGGCGUACUCUCGUUCAAUAGCACCAUGAUGCGCUCCAGCGGGGUGGCGCGGCGCCAGAUGCGUCCCUACUACAAUCUGCCCUCCAAGUCGGAGCACGGGCGCCGCAUGACCGGCUUUCUCACACCGUAUCGCCACUGGAUGUGGAAGCAGAACGAGCUCUGGCGCAACGUGCAUGAGGCUCAGUUUGAGCAUCUACGAAAGUUGUACAAGCGGCAGUGGCUCGAGUCGUUCCGCGUCAACGCGGACGAGUACAUUUACAAGUACAACAUCACCAAAUCCGCGCAGCUAGCGCAGUGGGAGCACGAGAUGCAGGGCCAGGAGCGCAAGCGUCGCGAGUCGCAGCAGCUGGCACAGGGCCGCCAAGCGUUGAAGAAGAAGCACCUAGACCUGCUGCGCGAGUUCCACGAGCGGCAGUUCUUCUACUGGUACGAGCGUGCGAGCGAGCGUCUGCAGUACAUGACCCACAUCAACUACAUCUCACAAGCCAGCAUUCAGGAGCACAUCGACCGCGAGCUGGACAAGUACACGGUGGGGUCGAAGGCGCCGUACCCGCUCAACUUUGCUGGCCAGAUGCCGAUGCUGGAAGACAAGGACGGCAACAUUGCGCAAGUGCCUUCGAAUCUAAUGACGAACCACGCUACGGAGAACCCAGAUGGCGGGGCCACCAUGUACGAGGCACCAGAGGGCACCGCCGUCGCGGAAGAGAAGCUGCUGCAGAUGAUGGCGUCGGCCCAGGAGGAGGAGUUGCGCAUUCGCCCCGAGGAUAGUGACGCCUGGUCGGAGUCGAUGGAGGACAUGGACCGCAGCGAAAGUGCGAGAAUCGACUCACGUAAGGUGGCGCGUAGCAUGGAGGAGACAGAUGAGGAGCGGGAGGUGAAUCGGCGCGCCUACAUCGAUCGUGGCAAGACGGGCUCCAAGACCAUUUUCCGCCGCCCAAGGUUAGACGACGAUGGCGCCACGCCGCCGAGCGCCGGUGGCACGACGCCAAUGAAGCGCCGCAAGUCGAGGAUGGACAGGAUGCAUGCCUUACAGGAGCAGCAGGACGCGGUGGCGGCCAAGGCGACGGCCAAGGCGCUGAAGGACGAAGAUAGUGUCGCCAAGGCGACGAAGCGUGGCGAGGUGGCGGAGAAUAGAGGCCGCUUGCGCGAUCGCAUGAUCAUGCCGUCUCUUGAAACCCUGCAGCAGUCGCCUGAGAUGAUGGCGCAGAACAAGCCAGGCGGCCGUGUGCGGACACAUCACCUCAUGGAGAAGGUCUACGGUAUCGGGAGGUUCAAGAAAGGUGGUGGCGGGGAUGAGGAUGCGUAGAUGCAGAAGGCGGCGGAUUUGUCUGUGCUGGAUAUUUCGGCGUGUACGUGUCAUGCCCGCAAAGAGCAUUGAAACAGCAGCAGCACACACACACACACACCAGGGGCACCCGCAAGGGCAGAAGCGUGUCUCUGCCACCGUUGCUUGCGUUGAAGAAGAUCUAUAUGUGUAUCUGGCGGUGAACGGUCUUCCCUUGCGCCACCACCAUCUCUCUCUCUCGUUGUGAGGCACGUUUGGUUUUCCUUUUCCUUGUCGCACGUAACAGCAACCACCAAGCACUCAUGCCGGAAGAAAAAAGGAGAGACAACCAUUAGCGCAGCUCCGUGUGCUGUCCUCCUGGUGUCGUCCGUGGCACGCCUUGAUGUGUGUGCCUGUGUGUGGGGGGGGGGAGGGGGGGGGCGCACACACGCGCCAAAGUGCGAAAAGAAAGAGAUCCAACGGCGAGAGUGCUGUUCGCCCUGUUCGUUGGGUAGCCCCAAACCCUUCGACAAGGAGAAGAUGAGGGGAGGCGGACGAGGCGAACGGAGUUGUUUGGUUUGAUGCAAGCGCCCACAUGCGCACGCACACACGCAGCCACACAAAUGCGUCACGGUGACACCCUUCAUGUGUUUGCAGCUCUUCCUCACUGGCCGCUUCUUCGCCCUCCCCCUCUUAAUCCUACGUGGCUGGCCUCUCGGUAG